GUGCGACACUUGGCGUGCUGUCUGAGGGGGAGCUGUGACUUGUCACUGGUGAGCAGUGUGGUCCUUUUCCAUGUUAGGACUCUGAGAAUGAGAGGCUGCAGGAGCACUAGGUAAGAGGUGGAGCAGCCGACAGCCUCGGCUUUAGUGAAAGCAUAGGUUUCACAUUGCCAGCUGUGGUUGCUGUCUCCAGGAUCCCCCAGGACAGGAGGACCCGUGGCCUUUCUUGUCAGCUGAUGAUAGACUCUUUUUGUCCUCAGGACUGAGUUCAUUCUACUCCGAGCUGAUGAAAGGCCUGGGUGCUGGUGGGCGGCUCUGGGAGCUGCUGGAGAGACAGCCACGGCUGCCUUUUAACGGUGGGUAUGUGGUGGGGCUGUUCAUCGUUUUGACAGUUAGACUGGCAUUCUGCCCUCCUCAGGGAGUGGGCCACUGCCAAGAGGUGGCCCCUGCUGCAAAACAGGGAGAUCAGGGUUUCCAUGGGAACCAAUGGGUACACUUGAGGGGAUGUUCUGGAAAUGUGGGCCUGAUGACAUGACAUGCCGCACAUACACCUGCAUCCAUUCAUUACCACCAAGGGCAGGGUAGCAGCAAGCAGGCCUGGUGUGCAUAGGACACCCAGAUGGCCCUCCCAAGUCUUCCUUAGUGAUCCUGGCUUUUGUAAGAGGUUGGGGAAGGCGGAGAUGAAAACAAGGCUUUACAUUUCUUGGCUCUGGGGGGGUGAUGCUGGGAUGCUGGUACUGAUGGAGGACCAUCUCCUCCUUGGGAUGCUGGUACUGAUGGAGGACCAUCUCCUCCUUGGGAUGCUGGGAUGUUGGUACUGAUGGAGAACCAUCUCCUCCUCCUUGUCAUCACCUUCCCUGGAGCCAUGGGCACAGAAGCCACUAGAGCACGGUGGCACUGAGAGAUGUCACUGAGGUGGGUCAGACCCGAGGGCCAGUCUUCACACUGUGCUUCACACUGCUCCCAAGAAAAGGUGACACCUCAAUUAAGGUCGCACAAGACCUUACAUGAUAAGCCCAGCAUCUAGGCCUGUUUCUGUUCACUUCAGUCAGGCAAGGGAGACACCCACAGGGAGGCAGGGGCAUUCUGCCCUGAGCUCCAUUCUUCUCACUUUGGCUUUCUGCCUUCCCUCUUGUGUUUCAGAGGGGAUGGUGUUAGAUGAGAAAACCUUCCAGGGUGCCCUGGAGUUCAGAAACGUGCACUUCACAUACCCUGCUCGCCCAGAGGUGUCCGUAUUCCAGGAUUUCAGUCUUUCCAUCCCAUCUGGAUCUGUCACAGCGCUGGUUGGCCCAAGUGGUUCUGGGAAAUCAACAGUGGUUUCGCUCCUGCUGCGGUUGUACGACCCUAAUUCUGGUAGGUGGCUAGUGACAGUGUGGGCAGAGGCAUCUCUGAGCUGUCAGUGACUUCUCCUGAUGCCUGUUCCCACCCCAUGCCUAGGAGAGACCACAUCUGACAACACUUUCCCAUAUUCCUACCCUUGGAAAUGGGUCAGCAAGACUGCCCAGCAGCACCCAGCAAAUACCUUCUGGUGCCAGCAGCCAUGGGUGCUGUGGACUGUCCCAUACCCACACUGGAACUCUGCUGACAUGUGCUGACAUAGCAAUUCUGGAUUUCAAGAGGCCUUCUGAUGGCUUCUGCCUCAGGGCUGUUCCUUGACUGUUUUUUUAGGGUCUUCUGUGUCCAGACCAGACAGUUUAGAUUUAUUUUGUAUGUUCUGCCUGCAUGUGUGCCUGUAGACCAGAAGAGGGUUAGGGUUAGGGUUAGGUUAGGGUUAGGGUUAGGGGGUUAGGGGGUUAGGGUUAGGGUUAGGGUUAGGGGGUUAGGGUUAGGGUUAGGGUUAGGGUUAGGGUUAGGGUUAGGGUUAGGCAGACCUCAUUAUGGAUGGUUGUGAGCCACCAUGUGGUUGCUGGGAAUUGAACUCAGGCCUCUGGAAGGACAGUCAGUGCUCUUAACGGUUGAGCUAUCCCUCCAGCCUCUUCCUUGGCUGUGUACUUAGCAAGUAUGAGACUGUCUCAUCCAUUCGUGAGGUAUGUAUGUAUGUGCACUGUUCUGCAGUCUUAGACGGGGCUGCUGAAGAGACUCCAGUUUAAACUUGCAGAACAUUGUAGACCUCCAUCCCUGAACUGGGCCUUCAUGGUCUCUUCUGAUACCAGCAUGAUCAGGAGACUGCAGUCAGGAGACUGCCAUCAGAACUGCUAGCCAGUGCACACUGUGUUUUCCUCCCCUGUCCCACACACUUCUCUUUGGAAUCAAGGCGCUGCAUAAGACUUCAGAUUCAUGGAACACCAACACUGCCAGGUAGCCUAGCUGCCAGCACCUCCAAACUCAGGAGGGGGGGGCUGGCUAGCCUCCCAUCCACUAGGGGAGGUCCUAGCUUCAGACAUUCCAGAAGGCUCCUGUUGCUCUGAAAGUCCCAGCCUUGUUGGUUUUGAGUUCCAUAUGGACAUUAUGGAAGUUGAUUUUCUUCGGUGGUUGGGACAGAACCCAGGCCCUUGCAUAUGCUAAGCGAGUGUUUCACCACUAGCUACACUGGAGUCCUGACCCUGUGUUUAGUCUUUAAAGGUUGCCUGGGGGUUGGGAUGCGGAUCAACUGGUUACUGUUUAUUUAGUAUGC
rnacentral:lncRNA from 1 species